UCAGGACGAACGCUGGCGGCGUGCCUAAUACAUGCAAGUCGAGCGAGUGGAACCAGCAGAUUUACUUCGGUAAUGACGCAGGGAAAGCUAGCGGCGGAUGGGUGAGUAACACGUGGGUAACCUGCCCCUCAGACUGGGAUACCACUUGGAAACAGGUGCUAAUACCGGAUAAGAGCAGCUGUCACAUGACAGCAGUUUAAAAGGCGGCCUUUGGCCGUCACUGAAGGAUGGACCCGCGGUGCAUUAGCUAGUUGGCAGGGUAACGGCCUACCAAGGCAGUGAUGCAUAGCCGAGUUGAGAGACUGAUCGGCCACAUUGGGACUGAGACACGGCCCAAACUCCUACGGGAGGCAGCAGUAGGGAAUCUUCCACAAUGGACGCAAGUCUGAUGGAGCAACGCCGCGUGAGUGAAGAAGGUUUUCGGAUCGUAAAGCUCUGUUGUUGGUGAAGAAGGAUAGAGGUAGGGAAUGGCCUUUAUUUGACGGUAAUCAACCAGAAAGUCACGGCUAACUACGUGACAGCAGCCGCGGUAAUACGUAGGUUGACAAGAGUUGUCCGCAUAUAUUUGGGCGUAAAAGCGAGUGCAUGCGGUUAAAUAAAUCUGAUGUGAAAGCACUCGGCCUCAACCGGGGAAUUGAGAUCCGAAAACUGUUCAACUUUGAGUUGCAGAAAAAGGAAAAGUGGAACUCCAUGUGUAGCGGUGGAAGGUAGAUAUAGAAGAACCCAGUGGGAAGGCGGUUCUCUGGUCUGCAACUGACGCUGAGGCUCGAAAAGCCAUGGGUAGCGAACAGGAUUAGAUACCCUGGUAGUCCAUGCCGUAAACGAUGAGUGCUAAGUGUUGGGAGGUUUCCGCCUCUCAGUGCUGCAGCUAACGCAUUAAGCACUCCCGCCUGGGGAGUACGACCGCAAAGGUUGAAACUCAAAGGAAUUGACGGGGGCCCGCACAAAGCGGUGGAGCAUGUGGUUUAAUUCGAAGCAACGCGAAGAACCUUACCAGGUCUUGACAUCUAGUGCCAUCCUAAGAGAUUAGGAGUUCCCUUCGGGGGCGCUAAGACAGGUGGUGCAUGGCUGUCGUCAGCUCGUGUCGUGAGAUGUUGGGUUAAGUCCCGCAACGAGCGCAACCCUUGUUAUUAGUUGCCAGCAUUAAGUUGGGCACUCUAAUGAGACUGCCGGUGACAAACCGGAGGAAGGUGGGGAUGACGUCAAGUCAUCAUGCCCCUUAUGACCUGGGCUACACACGUGCUACAAUGGUCGGCACAAUGAGCAGCGAACCUGUGAAGGCAAGCGAAUCUCUGAAAGCCGAUCUCAGUUCGGACUGUAGUCUGCAACCCGACUACACGAAGCUGGAAUCGCUAGUAAUCGCGGAUCAGCACGCCGCGGUGAAUACGUUCCCGGGCCUUGUACACACCGCCCGUCACACCAUGGGAGUCUCCAAUGCCCAAAGCCGGUAAGCUAACCGCAAGGGAGUAGCCGUCUAAGGCAGGGGAGACGUGAAGUCGUAACAAGGUAACC
rnacentral:rRNA from 1 species